rnacentral:rRNA from 1 species
UACGGGGGGGGCGAGCGUUGUCCGAAGUUACUGGGCGUAAAGGGCGCGUAGGCGGGGUGUCACGUCCGCUGUGAAAGCCUGGAGCUUAACUCCAGCGGGUCGGUGGAUACGGACACUCUUGAAGGCAUUAGGGGAAGAUGGAAUUACCCGUGGAGCGGUGAAAUGCGUAGAUAUCUGGAGGAAUACCGGUGGCGAAGGCGGCAUCCUGGACCAUUACUGACACUGAUCCGCGAAAGCUAGGGGAGCAAACGGG